rnacentral:rRNA from 1 species
UACGGAGGGUGCAAGCGUUAUCCGGAUUUACUGGGUUUAAAGGGUGCGCAGGCGGAUAUGUAAGUCAGUGGUGAAAUCUCCGGGCUUAACCCGGAAACUGCCGUUGAUACUAUAUAUCUUGAAUGCUGUGGAGGUAAGCAGAAUAUGUCAUGUAGCGGUGAAAUGCUUAGAGAUGACAUAGAAUACCUAUUGCGAAUGCAGCUUACUACGCAGAUAUUGACGCUCAUACACGAAAGCGUGGGGAUCAAACAGG